CAGCCGCCGCGGGAAUACGAAAGGGGCUAGCGUUGCUCGGAAUCACUGGGCGUAAAGGGUGCGUAGGCGGGUUUUUAAGUCAGAGGUGAAAUCCUGGAGCUCAACUCCAGAACUGCCUUUGAUACUGAAAGUCUUGAGUAUGGGAGAGGUGAGUGGAACUGCGAGUGUAGAGGUGAAAUUCGUAGAUAUUCGCAAGAACACCAGUGGCGAAGGCGGCUCACUGGCCCAUUACUGACGCUGAGGCACGAAAGCGUGGGGAGCAAACAGGAUUAGAUACCCCAGUAGUCCCUGUCUCUUAUAC
rnacentral:rRNA from 1 species